UCCCUGUUGGUCCAGUGGUUAAGACUUGGCACUUUCAAUGCCGAGGGCCCCGGUUCUAUCCCUGGUCAGGGAA